GGGGUUGUGGCUCAGCGGCAGAGCACUCGCCUUGCAUGUGCGAGGUCCUGAGUUCGAUCCUCAGCAUCACAU
rfam:Ictidomys tridecemlineatus contig076361, whole genome shotgun sequence.